rnacentral:rRNA from 1 species
AGAGUUUGAUCAUGGCUCAGGACGAACGCUGACGGUGUGCUUUAGGCAUGCAAGUCGAACGAGAAAGCCCUUCGGGGUGAGUAGAGUGGCGAACGGGUGAGUAACACGUGGGCAACCUGCCCCUCGCAGGGGGAUAACCGGGGGAAACCCCGGCUAAUACCCCGUACGCUUGUGGAGUCGCAUGGCUCCGCAAGGAAAGGUAGCUUCGGCCAUCCGGCGAGGGAUGAGCCCCGCGGUACAUUAGCUAGUUGGUGGGGUAACGGCCUACCAAGGCGACGAUGUAUAGCUGGUCUGAGAGGAUGAUCAGCCACACUGGGACUGAGACACGGGCCCGACUCCUACGGGAGGCAGCAGUAAGGAAUUUUGGGCAAUGGGCGAAAGCCUGACCCAGCAACGCCGCGUGAAGGAUGAAGUUUUUCGGAAUGUAAACUUCACAAGAAUGGGAAGAAUAAGGAAGGGUUAAUACCCCUUUCGAUGACGGUACCAUUUGUAAGCUCCGGCUAACUCCGUGCCAGCAGCCGCGGUAAUACGGGGGGAGCAAGCGUUGUUCGGAUUUACUGGGCGUAAAGGGCGCGUAGGCGGCGCAACAAGUCACUUGUGAAAUCUCCGGGCUUAACUCGGAGCGGUCAAGUGAUACUGUCGUGCUAGAGUGCGGAAGGGGCAACUGGAAUUCUCGGUGUAGCGGUGAAAUGCGUAGAUAUCGAGAGGAACACCUGCGGCGAAGGCGGGUUGCUGGGCCGACACUGACGCUGAGGCGCGAAAGCCAGGGGAGCGAACGGGAUUAGAUACCCCGGUAGUCC